ACUGAGUGUGCGAUGCCCUCGUUGUCACCCGAGACCCAGAUGGUACUGUCAAGAUCCCCACGAUGCAACGCUACGUCAGGCAGCCUUGUGCGCUGAAGCAGCACUCCCCUCUGACCUCACACAAAUGCACAAAAAAAGGCUUGACGAGUGAGUGUACUUCAUCUGAAGGACUUGUCCAGUACAACCACAGCCAUCUGUGUUGGCCUUUGGACAAAUCUACCAGCUCUGAUCCAACACACCUCUCCCCCUACUGUCACCAGUGAAGGCAUGCUGCAGCCACUGGAGUUAUAACAGAACCCCUGAUUACCACAUGAUAUAGUUUAAUCUAAAAAAAAAAAACAUAACGUUCA